rnacentral:rRNA from 1 species
UACGGAGGGGGCUAGCGUUGUUCGGAAUUACUGGGCGUAAAGCGCACAUAGGCGGCUUUGUAAGUUAGAGGUGAAAGCCCAGGGCUUAACCCUGGAAUUGCCUUUAAGACUGCAUCGCUAGAAUCGUGGAGAGGUGAGUGGAAUUCCGAGUGCAGAGGUGAAAUUCGUAGAUAUUCGGAAGAACACCAGUGGCGAAGGCGACUCACUGGACACGUAUUGACGCUGAGGUGCGAAAGCGUGGGGAGCAAACAGG